CCUACGGGUGGCAGCAGUGGGGGAUAUUGGACAAUGGGGGAAACCCUGCUCCAGCGACGCCGCGUGAGUGAAGAAGUAUUUCGGUAUGUAAAGCUCUGUCAGCAGGGAAGAAAGAAAUGACGGUACCUGACCAAGAAGCCCCGGCUAACUACGGGCCAGCAGCCGCGGUAAUACGUAGGGGGCAAGCGUGAGCCGGAAUUAUUGGGUGUAAAGGGAGCGUAGGCGGUGAUGCAAGUGUGGUGUGAAAGGCGCGGGCCCAACCCGCGGAUUGCAGUGGGAACUGUCGUGCUUGAGUGCAGGGAAAGCAGGCGGAAUUCGUAGUGUAGCGGUGAAAUGCUUAGAUAUGACGAAGAACCCCGAUGGCGAAGGCAGCUUGCUGGAGCGGAACUGACGCUGAUGCUCGAAAGCGCGGGGAUCGAACAGGAUUAGAUACCCGAGUAGUC
rnacentral:rRNA from 1 species